CUGCUAGUCGUGCGCUAUCCAGCCAUGUGGGUGGCGCGGCAGACAGCUCAGUAACACGUGGCUAACCUGCCCUUGGGAGGGGUGCAACCCCGGGAAACUGGGGCUAAUCCCCCAUAGGUGAAGAACUCUGGAAUGAGUUUUUGCUCAAAAGGCUUCGGAUCAUGCUUUCGGAGUCGCCCAAGGAUGGGGCCGCGACCGAUCAGGUUGUUGGUGAGGUAAUGGCCCACCAAGCCUUUUACCGGUGCGGGCCGUGAGAGCGGGAGCCCGGAGAUGGGCACUGAGACAAGGGCCCAGGUCCUACGGGGCGCAGCAGUCGCGAAACCUUUGCAAUACACGAAAGUGUGACAGGGUCAUCCCGAGUGCCGACCGCUGAGGUUGGCUUUUACCCAGUCUAGAAAGCUGGGGGAAUAAGGAGAGGGCAAGUCUGGUGUCAGCCGCCGCGGUAAUACCAGCUCUCCGAGUGGUGUGGACGUUUAUUGGGCCUAAAGCAUCCGUAGCUGGCUGAACAAGUCCCCUGUUAAACCCACCGAUUUAAUCGAUGGUCUGCGGGGGAUACUGCUCGGCUAGGGGACGAGAGAGGCAGACGGUAUUCCCGGGGUAGGGGUGAAAUCCUAUAAUCCCGAGAAGACCACCAGUGGCGAAGGCUGUCUGCUAGAACGCGCCCGACGGUGAGGGAUGAAAGCUGGGGGAGCGAACCGGAUUAGAUACCCGGGUAGUCCCAGCUGUAAACGAUGCAGACUAGGUGUUUGGACGGCCACGUGCCGUUCUAGUGCCGCAGGGAAGCUGUUAAGUCUGCCGCCUGGGGAGUACGAUCGCAAGAUUGAAACUUAAAGGAAUUGGCGGGGGAGCACCACAAGGGGUGAAGCUUGCGGUUUAAUUGGAUUCAACGCCGGG
rnacentral:rRNA from 1 species